CAAUAGCGUAUAUUAAAGUUGUUGCAGUUAAAAAGCUCGUAGUUGGAUUUCUGGUCGGAAGCUCCUGUCCUCUGAUGAGCGUACAAGUGCGUCCUACCAUCCUUCUGUUAACCUUUAAGGCUUUCGCGGCUUUCUAGGGGCUCAGAUAUUUUACCUUGAGAAAAUUAGAGUGUUUCAGGCAGGCUAGCGCCGGAAUACAUUAGCAUGGAAUAAUGGAAUAGGACUUUUGCCUCUUCUGUUGGUCAUGAGGCUCGAGUAAUGAUUAAUAGGGAUGGUUGGGGGCAUUAGUACUUAACUGUCAGAGGUGAAAUUCUCGGAUUUGUUAAAGACUAACUUAUGCGAAAGCAUUUGCCAAGGAUGUUUUCAUUAA
rnacentral:rRNA from 1 species